rnacentral:rRNA from 1 species
CCUACGGGAGGCUGCAGUGGGGAAUAUUGGACAAUGGGGGGAACCCUGAUCCAGCCAUGCCGCGUGUGUGAAGAAGGCCCUCGGGUUGUAAAGCACUUUCAGUGAGGAAGAACGCCUGGUGGUUAAUACCCAUCAGGAAAGACAUCACUCACAGAAGAAGCACCGGCUAACUCCGUGCCAGCAGCCGCGGUAAUACGGAGGGUGCGAGCGUUAAUCGGAAUUACUGGGCGUAAAGCGCGCGUAGGUGGCUUGAUAAGCCGGUUGUGAAAGCCCCGGGCUCAACCUGGGAACGGCAUCCGGAACUGUCAAGCUAGAGUGCAGGAGAGGAAGGUAGAAUUCCCGGUGUAGCGGUGAAAUGCGUAGAGAUCGGGAGGAAUACCAGUGGCGAAGGCGGCCUUCUGGACUGACACUGACACUGAGCUGCGAAAGCGUGGGUAGCAAACAGGAUUAGAUACCCUAGUAGUC